CUUUGUGAUUGGUCAUUUGCCUUCUUUCAUAAUUAGUGACGUAUGCGACGUAAAGCCACUAGUAAAGGCACAUCUUUUUAAAUACUUAUUAUUUUCUACUGAAUAGCCUUGGAGGUUGACUGUGCAAUGUUAUUUAAUGUUGUAAUUACUGUAAUAUCAGCGUAUGGGCCCCACCUGCACACUCCUGAGAAAUAGAAAAUGUACUCAAAGAUUGUCGUUCAAAGGAAAGCAGUGCGUGGUCAGCGCCUGUCACUGGAACCUGCGCUGGAAUGCUGCCAGAGUAGGUGACGCGCUGGCCCACGGUGGCCUGCGGACAAAGAUGGUCUUAUCUUCUGUACUGUACCGGGAUGUAGCUUCCUUCUGUAACAUUCUGUUCUAAAUGGUGUGUUUUCUUGCCUUAGGGAAAGGGUGGUAUUGGGGGUGGGGGGAGCAACAAAACAAAACUGUGUAGCCCCUUUUUAACCUGGUGUUCAUUCCAAACAUUCGAUGCAGAUCCGCAUUCACUCACUGGUGCACACUGAAACCUUACUUGAACAGAUCUCAUAAUAAAGCAUUUGUCUUUUGCUCUUU
rnacentral:lncRNA from 1 species